rnacentral:rRNA from 1 species
GGUACUUCGGUAGGGUAACCUGCGGAAGGAUCAUUA